AUCACCCAAUUUCUCCGUCACCACCCACUCCUUCGCUGUCUUCGCCUCCACCAGCCAUGAAAGAGAUAAGGAUUACCUUUGUAUCAUGUGGAGCAAUUGCAAAGGUAACGACUUAUCAUCAAAAUAUUCACCCAACAACACAAGAUCAGGUUGCGUUCCCGAUGAAUAUGAAUGAGAAACGAGAAGGAAUGGUGAGACUACCGAGAGAGAGUAUGAGGGAGUGAAAUCAGGAGAUUAAUUGGGAUUAAAUCCCAUUUAAUCGUGUAAUUGAAUGGUAACGGCUGCAGAGUGGGAUGGGAUGGAAGCUGGAGCAGAGUUUGAAGAGUAGGAGUUUUCGCUGGGAACAAAAAUACCGUGAAGUAUAGCGGCGAUGCUGCUGUCGUUCUGCGCGGGGCAUACUUUCAUACUGAGGGAGAAGCUGAGGAUAGCGGCGGUGCCUAUAUACACAUCGGCGAUGUUACCGGUCGUGCUCUUCACCAUCGGGCAGUUGCCUUUAUACUUUGAUAUUCUCUGGGCUGCCUAUGUCUAAGUGCCGCUUCGCAGCUACAACAUCUUCCAUCACUAGAGAUCUAUUAUCUAUACAUCUGCUUUUAUCCUUUAUUAAUUUGUUUUUGUGUAACAGAUUUGAAAGUUGAAAUUUUUAUAUAUAACUUUAUUACUAGUUUUCGUUAUCA